rnacentral:rRNA from 1 species
CAAGUCUUAUCGGUGGAUCACUCGGUUCGUAGGUCGAUGAAAACGGGGCAAAACCGUUAUUUGGCGUGAAUUGCAACAUAUUGAGCGCUAAAUUUGACGCAAAUGCACUAACAGGUUUUAUCUGUAAUAUGUUCAAUUGAGGUCUUU